rnacentral:rRNA from 1 species
GCCCUUAGAUGUUCUGGGCCGCACGCGCGCUACACUGACGAAUGCAACGAGCUUAUAACCUUGGCCGAAAGGUCUGGGUAAUCUCCAAAUUUCGUCGUGAUGGGGAUAGAUUAUUGCAAUUAUUAAUCUUCAACGAGGAAUGCCUAGUAAGCGCAAGUCAUCAGCUUGCGUUGAUUACGUCCCUGCCCUUUGUACACACCGCCCGUCGCUCCUACCGAUUGAAUGGUCCGGUGAAGCGUUCGGACCGUGGCCUUUGGACGGUUCGCCGUCUGUUGGCUGCGGGAAGUUCGUUAAACCUUNUNAUUUAGNGGAAGGAGAANUCGUANCA